GGUUACCAAAAACCAGUCGCGCUAGGCUUGUCUUGGAAAGGCUUCAAUUGCCGGCCACCACCUUUUGGGUGACAUGCAUGAAUUAUGAGCUGCACUGUGUCCGCACCUACAUCAUUUCAUGAAGCCUGGGAGAUGCGUCCCCACCCUCUCCGUGCAGAGCUCAGCAGCAACUGUGGAGGAACCCCGGGCUGUAAAGCAGGGAGAGCUGAGGAGUUUGUGGAAUUUUCUGGAGAGUUAUACCUGGGCUGGGUACUGACCCAUUCAACGAGCUCACUGAUUUCUCUAAAAGGGACCGAGGUGACAUGCAAAUCAUGUGUAAGUGUCUUGGAAGGGAAUUCGGAGAAUAACAUCUGUACCCUAAAUUUAACCAAAAUGCUAAUUCCUAGACACACGUCUAAGGGUCCAAUUCAUCACCUUGUCUCCUCUUCCCUGUCACCAAAACUCGCACUAGGGAGGAGGUGAGAGGGACAGACAGUCCUAAGAGACUUGGGGGAAGCUAGGGCUUUCUGUCAGGGUGCAGUGGAGUAGUGGAUGGCAGACUGAUCCGGCCAGGAGCAGGGCCUGAGGAGCAUCUGCAUUCAAGGCCAGCAGGAGAUGGGGAGCUGUAGGGAAGCAGAGCUGAAAAGGGAGCUGGGCUGUUCUCUGUGAUCUGCGGUUGCCUGGACGCUCCUGUGACCCUAAACCCAUAUUAAACCAACCUCAAGGUGGCGCUGUAACCUUUGGGAGCUGUGGGUGUGGGUACCUCUUCCCCCAUCCCCUUACCCCCAUACACAAAAGGACUGGUGACCUAUAAAAGAUAUGGAGUAUUUCGGUUGUGCCACAGCAGGGCACAGGAGGUCAUAUGACUGUCUAAACCAGGAAGCAGCUCUCGCCAGAGACCGGAUAUGCACUAGGCACCUUUACCUUGGACUUCCGUUCUCCAAACUGUGAGAAGUAAGUUUCAGUCGUUCAGAGAUCUUUCAGCCCAUGGUGCCUUGUUAUAGAAGUCUGAGUGAGCCGAACACUGUCUCUGAGGGAGAUUCACCCACAUUCUUCAA
rnacentral:lncRNA from 1 species